CCGCCCAGGGGUUGGCUCAUCCGUUGCCCGGAUGUGAGGGUCUGGGGCGUUCUGACUGGCGUCCCAGAGCCAAAGCCUGUUGCCCCCUUGGUGGGCUGGGUGAGGUGUGACAGAGGCGAUGGCGGCCGGAAGUCAGGAAGAGCUGAGUCUGGGUUUAUUCUUAGCCGGGCUACCAUGUUAUUAGCUGAAGUCUCCAGAAGCAGCGCGUGGCCAGUAGCUUGGCACGGGUAACUUUCAGAGGAUUUAGCAAUCAGAUGACUUCAGAGAAAGACAAGAAGGCAAACAUAGGCGUGUGGCCAGGUGGUCGUGCAGUACUGGAGGAAGAACAUUUGAGUUAACAUUGAAAUGCUGAUUGUGAAACACCAGGAGGAUAAGCCGUUCCAUUUCCUUGAGUCACUUCAUUCUAAUUUGUACAGAAAAGUAUACAGACUCAACUAGAACCAGUAAAAUCACCCAAAGAUAUGUGCAGAAGAAGGAACCCUCAUUUCUGACCUGACUCCCAGAUUGUGUUGAGUUGACAGAAGACUAGCUGACACAAUACAGAAUCGUCUCAAAUCUCAAGAAACAUGCCUCAGAAUAGGCCUGUGUAUUUGAAUAUUUAGUCCGCAGAUGGUAGUGCUGUUUGGGGAAGCUUUGGAACCUUUGGGACUGUGGCCUAGCUAGCAGAAGUGGAUCACUGGAGGAACACCUAAAGGCCAUGCCUGCUUCUGAUUAUGGCCUGAGCCCUCUUUUUCCUGAUCUGCCAAGGUGUGACCAAGCCACACUGCAAGCUCUCUCUACAAUGGACCAAGCUCUUCCAGUCCCCACCAUAAUGGACUGUCUCCUCUGACAGUGAGCCAGACUGAAUCUUCCUGUGAGUGCUUCAAUCAGGUAUUUGUCACAGCAUGUGAAAAGCUGUCAUCAAAGCAAUGAACUAAUGCUAAGAAGUUUGGGACACUUCCAAGGUCACCAAAUCUAAAAAAUGUAGGCUAGAAUGGAUUUUCCAAAAGCUGCAUAAUACAGACAGUUUAAAAA